rnacentral:tRNA from 1 species
AGCGGGAAGGAGAAAUGGUAACUCGCGGGUUUCAUAAGCCCGAGAUGCCUGGUUCGAUUCCAGGUCCCGCUU